rnacentral:rRNA from 1 species
CGUACUGAGACACGGACCAGACUCCUACGGGAGGCAGCAGUGAGGAAUAUUGGACAAUGGGAGCAAUCCUGAUCCAGCCAUGCCGCGUGCAGGAAGACUGCCCUAUGGGUUGUAAACUGCUUUUAUACAGGAAGAAAAAGGUGUACGUGUACAUUGUUGACGGUACUGUAAGAAUAAGGAUCGGCUAAUUCCGUGCCAGCAGCCGCGGUAACACGGAGGAUCCAAGCGUUAUCCGGAAUCAUUGGGUUUAAAGGGUCCGUAGGCGGGACAAUAAGUCAGUGGUGAAAGUCUGCAGCUCAACUGUAGAAUUGCCAUUGAUACUGUUGUUCUUGAGUGCUUGUGAAGUGGUUAGAAUGAGUAGUGUAGCGGUGAAAUGCAUAGAUAUUACUCAGAAUACCGAUUGCGAAGGCAGAUCACUAACAAUUCACUGACGCUGAUGGACGAAAGCGUAGGUAGCGAACAGGAUUAGAUACCCUGGUAGUCUACGCCGUAAACGAUGGUUACUAGCUGUUCGGACCAAUUGAGGUCUGAGUGGCCAAGCGAAAGUGAUAAGUAACCCACCUGGGGAGUACGUUCGCAAGAAUGAAACUCAAAGGAAUUGACGG